rnacentral:rRNA from 1 species
GAUCAUGGCUCAGGAUGAACGCUAGCUACAGGCUUAACACAUGCAAGUCGAGGGGCAGCAUGAUUGAAGCUUGCUUCAAUUGAUGGCGACCGGCGCACGGGUGAGUAACACGUAUCCAACCUUCCGUACACUCAGGGAUAGCCUUUCGAAGAAAGAUUAAUACCUGAUGGUAUCUUAAGCACACAUGUAAUUAAGAUUAAAGAAUUAUCGGUGUACGAUGGGGAGUGCG